rnacentral:rRNA from 1 species
CUUUUGGUGCGGUGCCUUCUGAGUUCCCUGGAACGGGACGCCUUAGAGGGUGAGAGCCCCGUAAAGUUGGACACCAAGCCUUUGUAAAGCUCCUUCGACGAGUCGAGUAGUUUGGGAAUGCUGCUCAAAAUGGGAGGUAAAUUUCUUCUAAAGCUAAAUACCGGCCAGAGACCGAUAGCGCACAAGUAGAGUGAUCGAAAGAUGAAAAGCACUUUGAAAAGAGGGUUAAAUAGCACGUGAAAUUGUUGAAAGGGAAGCGCCUAUGACCAGACUUGUGCCUGGCGGAUCAUCCAGCCUUCUGGCUGGUGCACUUCGCCAGGUUCAGGCCAGCAUCGGUUCUCCGAGGGGGAUAAAAGCUUCAGGAACGUAGCUCCUCCGGGAGUGUUAUAGCCUGUCGCAUAAUAUCCCUUGGGGGACCGAGGUUCGCGCAUCUGCAAGGAUGCUGGCAUAAUGGUCAUCAGCGACCCGUCUUGAAACACGGACCCAAA